rnacentral:rRNA from 1 species
UACGUAGGGUGCGAGCGUUAAUCGGAAUUACUGGGCGUAAAGCGUGCGCAGGCGGUUACAUAAACCAGAUGUGAAAUCCCCGGGCUUAACCUGGGAACUGCAUUUGGGACUGUGUGGCUUGAGUAUGGCAGAGGGAGGUGGAAUUCCACGUGUAGCAGUGAAAUGCGUAGAGAUGUGGAGGAACACCGAUGGCGAAGGCAGCCUCCUGGGCCAAUACUGACGCUCAUGCACGAAAGCGUGGGGAGCAAACAGG